rnacentral:rRNA from 1 species
UACGUAGGGUGCGAGCGUUAAUCGGAAUUACUGGGCGUAAAGCGUGCGCAGGCGGUUGGUUAAGUCUGAUGUGAAAGCCCCGGGCUCAACCUGGGAAUGGCAUUGGAAACUGGCUGGCUAGAGUGUGGCAGAGGGGGGUGGAAUUCCGCGUGUAGCAGUGAAAUGCGCAGAUAUCAGGAGGAACACCGGUGGCGAAGGCGGGUCUCUGGGCCGAUAUUGACGCUGAGGAGCGAAAGCGUGGGGAGCAAACAGG